UGAGGAAUAUUGGUCAAUGGACGCAAGUCUGAACCAGCCAUGCCGCGUGCAGGAUGACGGCUCUAUGAGUUGUAAACUGCUUUUGUACGAGGGUAAACCCCGAUACGUGUAUCGGGUUGAAAGUAUCGUACGAAUAAGGAUCGGCUAACUCCGUGCCAGCAGCCGCGGUAAUACGGAGGAUCCGAGCGUUAUCCGGAUUUAUUGGGUUUAAAGGGUGCGUAGGCGGUUUGAUAAGUUAGAGGUGAAAUGUCGGGGCUCAACCCCGAAACUGCCUCUAAUACUGUUGGACUAGAGAAUAGUUGC
rnacentral:rRNA from 1 species